rnacentral:rRNA from 1 species
GAAAAGCGUAGUCGAUGGGAAACAGGUUAAUAUUCCUGUACUUCUGGUUACUGCGAUGGAGGGACGGAGAAGGCUAGGCCAGCUUGGCGUUGGUUGUCCAAGUUUAAGGUGGUAGGCUGAAAUCUUAGGUAAAUCCGGGGUUUCAAGGCUGAGAGCUGAUGACGAGUCGUCUUUUAGAUGACGAAGUGGUUGAUGCCAUGCUUCCAAGAAAAGCUUCUAAGCUUCAGGUAACCAGGAACCGUACCCCAAACCGACACAGGUGGUCGGGUAGAGAAUACCAAGGCGCUUGAGAGAACUCGGGUGAAGGAACUAGGCAAAAUGGCACCGUAACUUCGGGAGAAGGUGCGCCGGCUAGGGUGAAGGAUUUACUCCGUAAGCUCUGGCUGGUCGAAGAUACCAGGCCGCUGCGACUGUUUAUUAAAAACACAGCACUCUGCAAACACGAAAGUGGACGUAUAGGGUGUGACGCCUGCCCGGUGCCGGAAGGUUAAUUGAUGGGGUUAGCGCAAGCGAAGCUCUUGAUCGAAGCCCCGGUAAACGGCGGCCGUAACGAUAACGGUCCUAAGGUAGCGAAAUUCCUUGUCGGGUAAGUUCCGACCUGCACGAAUGGCGUAACGAUGGCGGCGCUGUCUCCACCCGAGACUCAGUGAAAUUGAAAUCGCUGUGAAGAUGCAGUGUAUCCGCGGCUAGACGGAAAGACCCCGUGAACCUUUACUGUAGCUUUGCACUGGACUUUGAGCCUGCUUGUGUAGGAUAGGUGGGAGGCUUUGAAGCGUGGACGCCAGUUCGCGUGGAGCCAUCCUUGAAAUACCACCCUGGCAUGCUUGAGGUUCUAACUCUGGUCCGUAAUCCGGAUCGAGGACAGUGUAUGGUGGGCAGUUUGACUGGGGCGGUCUCCUCCUAAAGAGUAACGGAGGAGUACGAAGGUGCGCUCAGACCGGUCGGAAAUCGGUCGCAGAGUAUAAAGGCAAAAGCGCGCUUGACUGCGAGACAGACACGUCGAGCAGGUACGAAAGUAGGUCUUAGUGAUCCGGUGGUUCUGUAUGGAAGGGCCAUCGCUCAACGGAUAAAAGGUACUCCGGGGAUAACAGGCUGAUACCGCCCAAGAGUUCAUAUCGACGGCGGUGUUUGGCACCUCGAUGUCGGCUCAUCACAUCCUGGGGCUGAAGCCGGUCCCAAGGGUAUGGCUGUUCGCCAUUUAAAGUGGUACGCGAGCUGGGUUUAGAACGUCGUGAGACAGUUCGGUCCCUAUCUGCCGUGGACGUUUGAGAUUUGAGAGGGGCUGCUCCUAGUACGAGAGGACCGGAGUGGACGAACCUCUGGUGUUCCGGUUGUCACGCCAGUGGCAUUGCCGGGUAGCUAUGUUCGGAAAAGAUAACCGCUGAAAGCAUCUAAGCGGGAAACUUGCCUCAAGAUGAGAUCUCACUGGGAACUUGAUUCCCCUGAAGGGCCGUCGAAGACUACGACGUUGAUAGGCUGGGUGUGUAAGCGUUGUGAGGCGUUGAGCUAACCAGUACUAAUUGCCCGUGAGGCUUGACCG